rnacentral:tRNA from 1 species
GUCCUCUUAGCUUAGGCGCAGAGCAUUCGUCUAGUAAGCGAAAGGUCCCAGGUGCGAUUCCGGUAGAAGGCU